rnacentral:rRNA from 1 species
UGGUGGAGUGAUUUGUCUGGUUAAUUCCGUUAACGAACGAGACCCCUGCCUGCUAAAUAGCCUGGCGAGUGAUCUUCACUGGCUCUUGGCUUCUUAGAGGGACGUGCAUUCGACUAGUUGCAGGAAGAUAGGGGCAAUAACA